AGCGAACGCUGGCGGCAGGCCUAACACAUGCAAGUCGAACGGACCCUUCGGGGUUAGUGGCGGACGGGUGAGUAACACGUGGGAACGUGCCUUUAGGUUCGGAAUAGCUCCUGGAAACGGGUGGUAAUGCCGAAUGUGCCCUUCGGGGGAAAGAUUUAUCGCCUUUAGAGCGGCCCGCGUCUGAUUAGCUAGUUGGUGAGGUAACGGCACACCAAGGCGACGAUCAGUAGCUGGUCUGAGAGGAUGACCAGCCACACUGGGACUGAGACACGGCCCAGACUCCUACGGGAGGCAGCAGCGGGGAAUCUUGCGCAAUGGGCGAAAGCCUGACGCAGCCAUGCCGCGUGAAUGAUGAAGGUCUUAGGAUUGUAAAAUUCUUUCACCGGGGACGAUAAUGACGGUACCCGGAGAAGAAGCCCCGGCUAACUUCGUG
rnacentral:rRNA from 1 species